AGAGGAAGAGGUGUAAAUUUAAGAAGAUUGUGCGGGCUGAUUUGUCCUGACGUUACUGGCUUAAGCUGUAAGGAGGGGAAGUUGAGCAACACAGUGUGGGCUUUCAGGGAGCCGGGGUGGAACCCUCAGAGCGAAGUGAAGGGUAUGAGAUGGAACUUCAGCUUAGUAAUUGUCUUUGUCAGAAAAUACUAUUAGGUUUAUGAGUAUUUUUUUUUUGGGUCAACUGAAAGAUCCCAAGAUGAAAACUCAGCCAAGUUUCAAACUUCCAGAUUGAGGAGAAAAUAUUAUAAGCAACAUAAGGGAAACGUGUACUGAGGAUAAUGUAAGAUCUAGCAGCUUCUACAUGAAAAUAGCAAUGCUUUGGACAUUUUCAAAGAGCAAAAGAGCCAAGAUUGUAAUCAAAAAUAACUUAUCAAGCAAAACUGAGUAUAAUCCUGAACAGAGGAAAAUCUGGAUAUUAACUGUGGAAAAAAUCUUAUUUGUGACAGACCAGGACUUCAAUAGAAAAUUUGAUAUCUAAGAUCCAAGACAAUCAAGGACUGAACUAGCAUCACUCCUGUAACCAAAGAAAUAUAUAUAACAGAAGAUGGGGUGAAGAUUUCCACCAUGACAGAUCUUGAUGUGAGCCUGGAAGACUAUCAGGGUUUAAGAUUUAAAAAUUCUUAAUCUGUAACCACAAAGAAAAAGUAUCUCUAUGAAAACAGUCCUACUGGAGAAGGAACAUGGGAAAUGAUUUCAGAAGCAACGUCAUCGUUACUUGAACUGCAGAGUGCAACAAUAAAGACUUUUGGUGUUUCCCUUCUUCACUCCUUUGCUAAUCUUUACUUCUUGAUGGAGUCCUAGUUGAUCAAUCAAAGUAACCUUAUUUUAUCCCCAAGAAAAGUAUGCCUAAUAUGUCAAGGGACUUGAGACUGUCCUAUGAAAUGACCAAUUCAGCGUCAGUAGCAUUUGAGACAGCUCUAGUCCUUUGAAAAAUCCCUUUAGCUCUCCGAGAAGGCUCCAUUGCUCUCCUUCGGAAGUAAAUCUUAAAUAGAUCAUUGGACUGAGUUAUUUGAUACCAAAAUAAGGUUUUUUUUUAUUUAUUUUUUUUUUUUUUGGUGUAUAUGUAGGGGCUUUCCCUCUCAUCUUCUCACUAGAGAGAUAAUGUACUUCAGAUAUAUCAAAUGAGUAGACUGAUAAAACUGGACAUUUUGCUCAAACUAGCUUCUUGGGAGGAACUUAGAAGCUUUAAUAUGCCACUAAUGUAUUAUCCAAACAACCAGCAAGGACUCUUUAAACAUUCCAGAGAAAAGGGCACUGUUGUUAGUUCUAUAGACAUACAUGAUUUGUGAUCUGAUUCUUAUUUUUUUCCCCUCUGUUGGGGGGCCAUUCUGAAAGGAUUGACAUGAGUUCUUGAUGCCAGUGAACUUGGAAACGAUUGGCAGGCAAACAGUUUGUAUUUUCAUCAGGGCCCUACCCUGAGAAAAGGGGUUCUGCAUCUUUCAUUCAGAAAGACCAUUUCCAAGCCACAGUUCUGGGGUCUCCUCUUUGACUUUCAGCCUAAAAGUUACUUCUAUUAAAAAAUUUAAUAAAUUUUCAUUUAAAAAGUGAUAUUUGUUUUAGUUAUGGGAAGAUAUGGCAGGUAAGGUUUGCCUGCAUGUAAGGAGUUGGGGAGGGGAAUCAGUUGACUAUCUCCAUACUAGAAAAAUUCUAAGUAUGUAGCUAUUCACUGCCAUGUCAUACAUAGACGUAGAUUGUGAAAAGGGGACAGACUCUCACUUCUUCUCUCUCACUAUAUUUAACAUGGUACUAUACUAUGGCAUAGCUCCUAACAGUCCUUCCACUUCUAGGAGUUAGCCAGGGCUAGUUCCAACAAAAGAUGGGCAAGAGUAUGAACAAGGUCUGAGACCUUGUCAGACCAAGAAUGUGCAGAGAUCAGUUAUGCUGUUUCACAUCUUUUGCUAUUCCUCUAUACUACUAAGUACCUGUCACAUAUUUGUCUGGUUUUCAGGUGCCAUCUAAUGGCCACUCAUAGCACUUAUUGUUAAAAGCAAUUGUUGAGAAUUAAAAAAAAAAAUUGGCUUUAGAUCAUGAUGAGUGAAGCAGCUAGUUUCUCCAUUCUGUCAAGGCAGGCCAACUAAUUAGUGCUUGACAUGAGAGUGGCUGAGGCUUAAUAUUAGUGAUUCCAGUGGAGGCCACAAAAUUAGGCAUAGAAGGAACCCUUAUCUUAGAUAAGAAACUAAAGCUCACAUAUUGAGUAAUUUUGCCAAGGUAACCAAAACAGGUUUAAAUCCAGAUUUUUGUUGAUGGACAUUCUUAUAGUCAACUUAGGAUUUUGAUAGGGUUUCUUGCCAAGUCAGAUACUUAAGCAAUUCUGAAAGGACCAUGAAAUCCUGAGCUAGAACUCCAAAUAGUUGGUGAGUUACCAGUAUGGGUAAACUACAAAUAAAUGGAAUGAAAUAUUUUAUACAUCCUGAGCUUUAUAACUGUAUUAUAUGUAGUUUUGGUCCCAAGGUCUUCUGUUACGCCACAACACUGCAAGCAAAAUGUGAAGAGAGAAUGUGGAAUCCUAGUUGAAAAUGACCAGUCUCAUCUAACCUUCAUCUGAGUAAGUUACCCUCUAAACCAGACCAGGGUGUUGAUGUUAAUAUUUAGUGGGAAUAAUAGCAAUGAGUAGCUAUAGUGGUUUUGAUGUGGGGUGGCUAGUACAGUUCAGUCUAGCACAGAUGUUUCAAUCCAGUAACUAACAUUUAUCUAACACUUUCUAUGUGCC